rnacentral:rRNA from 1 species
CUAGCGACUUCAGAGUUUGAUCCUGGCUCAGGAUAAACGCUGGCGGCGUGCCUAAUACAUGCAAGUUGAACGGAGAGCUUCGGCCCUUAGUAGCGAACGGGUGAGUAACACGUAGGCAACCUGCCCUGUUGACUGGGAUAACAAUCCGAAAGGAUUGCUAAUACCGGAUAAUAACUUGUGUCGCAUGACACAAGGAUGAAAGUUGGGAUACAACACAACAGGAUGGGCCUGCGGCGCAUUAGCUAGAUGGUGAGAUAGCAGCCCACCAUGGCAAUGAUGCGUAGCCGAUCUGAGAGGAUGUACGGCCACAUUGGAACUGAGACACGGUCCAG